rnacentral:rRNA from 1 species
UACGUAGGGUCCGAGCGUUGUCCGGAAUUAUUGGGCGUAAAGAGCUCGUAGGCGGUUUGUCGCGUCUGCUGUGAAAUCCCGAGGCUCAACCUCGGGUCUGCAGUGGGUACGGGCAGACUGGAGUGCGGUAGGGGAGAAUGGAAUUCCUGGUGUAGCGGUGGAAUGCGCAGAUAUCAGGAGGAACACCGAUGGCGAAGGCAGUCU